rnacentral:rRNA from 1 species
ACGGCUCAGUAACACGUGGACAACCUACCCUCAGCACGGGGAUAAACCCGGGAAACUGGGUAUAAUACCCGAUAGUUCUGGGAUGCUGGAAUGCUUCCAGGACGAAAGCUCCGGCGACUGAGGAUGGGUCUGCGGCCUAUCAGGUAGUAGUGGGUGUAAUGUACCUACUAGCCUACGACGGGUACGGGUCGUGAGAGCGAGAGCCCGGAGAUGGAUUCUGAGACACGAAUCCAGGCCCUACGGGGUGCAGCAGGCGCGAAAACUUUACAAUGCUGGCAACAGCGAUAAGGGGACCUCGAGUGCCAGGAUACAAUCUUGGCUGUCGUAAUGCCUAAAAAGCAUUGCAUAGUAAGGGCCGGGCAAGACCGGUGCCAGCCGCCGCGGUAACACCGGCGGCUCGAGUGGUAACCGCUAUUAUUGGGUCUAAAGGGUCUGUAGCCGGCCGGAUAAGUCUCUUGGGAAAUCCAGCUGCUCAACAGUUGGGCUUUCAGGAGAUACUGUUCGGCUCGAGGCCGGGAGAGGUGAGGGGUACUUCAGGGGUAGGGGUGAAAUCUUGUAAUCCUUGAAGGACCACCAGUGGCGAAGGCGUCUCACCAGAACGGUCCCGACGGCAAGGGACGAAAGCUAGGGGCACGAACCGGAUUAGAUACCCGGGUAGUCCUAGCCGUAAACGAUACUCGCCAGGUGUCAGCCACGGUGCGACCGUGGUUGGUGCCGUAGGGAAGCCGUGAAGCGAGCCACCUGGGAAGUACGGCCGCAAGGCUGAAACUUAAAGGAAUUGGCGGGGGAGCAC